GAGUUUGAUCAUGGCUCAGGAUGAACGCUGGCGGCGUGCCUAACACAUGCAAGUCGAACGUGAGGAAUUAGCAAUAAUUCUGAAAGUGGCGAACGGGUGAGUAACACGUAGGUAACCUGCCGCGCAGAGGGGGAUAACGACUGGAAACGGUCGCUAACACCGCAUGGUACUGUUUUGGGGGGACCCUUGACAGUUAAAACUUAGGUGCUGCGCGAGGGGUCUGCGUCCGAUUAGUUAGUUGGUGAGGUAACGGCUCACCAAGACGAUGAUCGGUAGCUAGUCUGAGAGGAUGAUUAGCCACACGGGAACUGAGACACGGUCCCGACUCCUACGGGGGGCAGCAGUGAGGAAUAUUGCACAAUGGACGCAAGUCUGAUGCAGCAACGCCGCGUGGAGGAUGAAGGUCUUUGGAUUGUAAACUCCUUUUCUCAGGGAAGAGAAUGGACGGUACCUGAGGAAUAAGUCACGGCUAACUACGUGCCAGCCGCCGCAGUAAU
rnacentral:rRNA from 1 species